AAUAAGUGUAGUCGUGAAUAUUCGUGUUCAACGUUUAACCGUCCAUCUUAUUUAAAAAAUUUAUAAAAAAAAUUAAAAAAUUUAGUUACACAUAAAGUACUAUUCAUAUUUUAUCAUCUAAUAGCAACAAAAAUACUAAUCAUAAAUUUUUUUUAAACAAGACGAAUGGUCAUACGACGAAUGGUCAUACGUUGAACGUGAAUAGUGCAAAACUGUACUUAUU
rfam:Oryza sativa (indica cultivar-group) chromosome 2, whole genome shotgun sequence.